AGAAAAGGCGGUGACAUCAGCAAAAGGGAGCCAACUCCUUCCCCGUCUGCCAUUUUGUACUCUUGGCCUAACGUUGACUCAAAACAGCAACUUGGAGCCUUCCCUGACCUGUUGGUAAAAUAUGACUUUGUUUUAUUAUUAAAAAAAUAGAAAGUAGAAAAUUAAAUUCAUUAGCUCCAAUUACUAAAUGAUUCAUCUGGCUGGCUAAUGAAGCUGAGCAUUAUGCUAACAAGAUAAAGGCAAGAAUAACAUGUGGGGAUGUGCGGCUGCAGGCACGCUGGGCCUGUUCUACUGGAAACGCAAGGCUGAGGAGCUCUGUGCCUUGAGAUGGAUGGCAAGAUACAAAAUCAAAAAGGUGUUUUAAUCCUGAGGAAGAGUGUGAGUCUGGGAAAAUUUUGGAUCACCGAGGUGCAGCCAUACCUUCCACAGCCAUCACUGUUGCUUACAACUCACAUGCCAAGAAUUGCAAGAUGAAGAUGGUGAUCAGGAGGCAUGACUUGUAACUACUUGGUUAGUGUAAAACAGAGAGGAGAAUUAGGAGAGGCAGAUGGCAGAGAGGUCUGCCAUGGAAGAUUCAUGGAUGACAGGAGAGGCUGUGUUCCAGAAUGCAAGGAAGAAGAGCCCAAGGACCGUAGCAAGGCCCUGAUUCUGGGAGACAAGAGAACACGCUGACUUAGAAUGCUUGUCUCUGCAUCCUGGUCAGAAAGUAGAUAGACGACACUUUCAUCUCCGACUGGAUUUUGGUGAGAGAUGGGCAAACCCCCGGCUCUAGGCUGGAGCAGCAGCUCUUGUAUCCACACAAAAUCAGGACUGGUGGAGGGAGCCAUCUUCAAAUAUAAAUUUGGUCAGUUUAACAAUCAGAGAUUUGAAAAACACAGAAGUGAACAUUUCUGAUCAAUGACACUGCUGAUCUGAUGCAUCAUAACAGAAACCAGUCAUCAAGCGUCUUUUGGCAAUGCACUCCUUGGGUUUGGAAGCUUCCCUCCAAGAUGCUGAGCCCAAUGUUUGGGGAAAGCCAGGGAAACAGAUGCUGGGUCAGUGCUGCUCCCACCUCCUCUGCUCCCCUCCUGAGGGCUCCACUGAGUCACCAGCCAGCAAACAGCCCAUGCGCCCUGGAGCAGAUGGACUGUGGGUACACGAGCCUCUGAACUCUUGGGCAGCAUGGGCACCACAUCCUUUUGGCCUCACCCAAUGACCUGGCUAACAGGGCAUUUCUCAAAUGGUGCCUAUUUGAAAUGAGAGCCCAGAAUCACCGCUAGCCUUAGCUUGCUAUUUAAGGGUUAAAAAAGGACAAGUAAACAGAUGAGCUCUUGGGUGGCAUGUGCUGUUCUCAGCCAUGGUAGGUGGUGGUAAGCUGGGGCCACACGGCAUGCUGGGUGACUGUUGAAUUCAGCCAAGGCCAUGCUGAGCAGGAGGGGGCAUGGCAGAGUCACACAUGUAGAAGGUGCCCACCUGAGAAGGUGAGAAUGGAAAUGUUUCCUUGAUGGGUUUGCACAGCUCCCUGGAAAGAGGAGACUUGCUGAGAGCAGCAAGGUGACAGCAAGGGUUCACAGCUGCAGCACACUGUCUGAAUCAGUGCUUGCCCCUGUGGAGUUCUGUAUGGAUUUUAUAACAAGCCUGUGACACUGGCACCAUGUGCCUGCCAUGGGCCACCACGGAGACCUGCCAAGUUCCCAUGAGGAAUUUGGGGUAUGGGGGCCUCCUGCUUUGGUGCCAUCCCUAGUGAUCUCUGCUUGGAGCUCGUAUUUCUCCCUUUACCUUUGAGUGGGACCACGCCCCUCUGCUUGCCCAAGGCUCCCUGUGCCUCCUGACUCUUCUCUGCUACCUGAAACCCUCCUCGACUCCUCCCUCUCCCUCUGCAUUCCCCAGGGUCUUCAGGGUCAAGCUCAAGGUUUGCCUCACCCCCAAAACCCUCCUCAGCCACACUGCCUAAUUUAUUCCUUUUGCCCAAAUUCUAUAACUGAGAUGAGACCGGAUCAUCUAAGCGGCCCCAGGGAGGCAGCCCAGGGGCAAUUAGAGCAUUGUGUCUAUGGAAACACACAUAGUACUGGCAUCCCCCCCACCAAGCUCUGUACCCUGUGAAACCCUGGGCCCACGUCUAUUUCCAGCCAUCCCUGCUCCCAGGAAUCACACCAUUCCUCCACAGUUUAGGUACCUGGCCUUGACCUUUACCCCAGCAAUUCCAUCCAGGUAUUUCAGAAUGCUUUGCAACAUGCAGGUGGCUUCUUAGGAGUGGGGGUAUUUGCCAACAAACCAACCAUGAGCCUGCAUCCAAAGAAAGCCUUCUACAGCCACAUGAAGACAGUGUGAUGCUCUCGAUGCUUGGGAAGGCCUCGCAAUGCACAUGGGGGCAGUGAUUGAAGGAGUCAAAGAGAAUUUCAUCUGCACACAUGGCGGCAGCUAGCUGUCCGGUGUGCAAAUCCAAAGACGUCUCCAGUCACACCUAUGCUUUCCAGCCCUUCUUUCCUCCUGUGAUGGAGUUAACCCCUCCCUCCCCAGUGGUCCACAAAACAAUAGGCUUUCCCAGUUGUUCUCAAGAGCUCCUCUCCCCUCUACCUGAGGGCUCCCAGCCAUGAGCCCUCUACCUGAGGUCUCAAAGGGGUCUGGAAAGGCUCUGGGCAAGCCGACAGCAACCGACGUGAAAAUAGGUGGUUCACUCGCACAUUCAGCUCCCCAUCUGGUCCAUUCUAGUUAUUUAUUUCAAAAAUCUGAGAGCAGCUUUUUUAUACACAAGUUUCCUUAUGUGGGGAAAAUGUAUGUGAAUGACAUUCGUUCUCAUUGGGGUGGAAUUGAAGAUAUCUUUAGGUGUCACUUAAUAGUCAGUGCUGAAAGGGCCUUUUCACCCUUAGCUAAUUUUUCUAGGAUUUCUAUGGGACCAAAAUGGGCAAGGGGACAAGUAUAUUUGGUUCUGGGGAGCUCUUAUCUCCCAGCAUCGCCUUGCAUUGACUCCUUUCAAAGUAGAAAACCCUCCCAGUCUGUUAUUUCUAGAAGGAAGCCUUGCCUUUAUCAUCAUCUCACUACCAUAAUCACCAUCAUUAUCAUCACCAUCAUCAUCACCAUUAUCACCACUACUAUCAUCAUUAUCACCAUCAUCAUCACCAUCAUCAUCAUCAUCACCACCAUCACCACCACCACCAUCAUCAUCAUCCUUGUCGUCAUCAUCAUCAACAUCAACAUCAUCUUUUGCUAAAGUGAGAGAUAGGGCCAAGUCCAUUGAACUGUGUACCUUUAAUUCUGACAUGCUUUCCCUUCCUCUCACUUUCUCCAGCACUUUUCUGAGCUUCUGGUAUAACAAGUUUUAGAAUUUGAUUACAGCACCAUCUACUGGGUACUAGACUUCCCAUUUUUCUAGGCCUUUCCUAUACAUUGACGUUUGCUUCUUCUUUCUGUUUUUUCCUCCGCUCUCUCCUGCUUUUUCCCCCAUGAAAGUAACAAUUGUUAGUUUGAAAAGGUUCCAUCAAUUAAUUCCUAAAAGUGAAGCUCUUCUAAAAUGAGGAAAAGCUUACAUCCCUUGCCAAUAAAUACUCACAAAGACAAUGG